rnacentral:misc_RNA from 1 species
GUUGGUGAACCAGCGGAGGGAUCAUUACAGAGUGACCACUGUGUCGUGGCUCUGCCAACCCCGCGAACUAUACCCCUUAUUGUUGCCUCGGCGGGCCGACGCCCACCCUCCUCCGCCUGCCGGGGGACGGGCGCCCCGCCGCAGGCCCCCAACCAAAAACGCACCGCAACGCUCAGCGCUCCUUCUGAACAAAAACUUUAUAACGAGUAAAAACUUUUGGCAACGGAUCUCUUGGCUCUG